rnacentral:rRNA from 1 species
UACAGAGGUGGCAAGCGUUGUUCGGAAUUACUGGGCGUAAAGGGCGCGUAGGCGGCCAUCUAAGUCAGACGUGAAAUCCCCCGGCUUAACCUGGGAACUGCGUCUGAUACUGGACGGCUUGAGUAUGGGAGAGGGAUGUAGAAUUCCAGGUGUAGCGGUGAAAUGCGUAGAUAUCUGGAGGAAUACCGGUGGCGAAGGCGGCAUCCUGGACCAUUACUGACGCUGAGGCGCGAAAGCUAGGGGAGCAACGGGG